CAGUCGCCGCGGGAACACGGAGGGAGCUAGCGUUGUUCGGAAUUACUGGGCGUAAAGCGCGCGUAGGCGGUUACUCAAGUCAGAGGUGAAAGCCCGGGGCUCAACCCCGGAACUGCCUUUGAAACUAGGUGACUAGAAUCUUGGAGAGGUCAGUGGAAUUCCGAGUGUAGAGGUGAAAUUCGUAGAUAUUCGGAAGAACACCAGUGGCGAAGGCGACUGACUGGGCAAGUAUUGACGCUGAGGUGCGAAAGCGUGGGGAGCAAACAGGAUUAGAUACCCCUGUAGUCCCUGUCUCUUAUAC
rnacentral:rRNA from 1 species